rnacentral:rRNA from 1 species
CCUACGGGAGGCAGCAGUGAGGAAUAUUGGUCAAUGGACGAGAGUCUGAACCAGCCAAGUAGCGUGAAGGAUGACUGCCCUAUGGGUUGUAAACUUCUUUUAUAUGGGAAUAAAACGUUCCACGUGUGGGAUUUUGUAUGUACCAUAUGAAUAAGGAUCGGCUAACUCCGUGCCAGCAGCCGCGGUAAUACGGAGGAUCCGAGCGUUAUCCGGAUUUAUUGGGUUUAAAGGGAGCGUAGGUGGAUUGUUAAGUCAGUUGUGAAAGUUUGCGGCUAAACCGUAAAAUUGCAGUUGAAACUGGCAGUCUUGAGUACAGUAGAGGUGGGCGGAAUACGUGGUGUAGCGGUGAAAUGCUUAGAUAUCACGAAGAACUCCGAUUGCGAAGGCAGUUCACUGGACUGCAACUGACACUGAGGCUCGAAAGUGUGGGUAUCAAACAGGAUUAGAUACCGUGUAGUC